rnacentral:rRNA from 1 species
GUUGAACGCUGGCGGCAUGCCUUACACAUGCAAGUCGAACGGCAGCACGGGUGCUUGCACCUGGUGGCGAGUGGCGAACGGGUGAGUAAUACAUCGGAACGUACCUUAUCGUGGGGGAUAACGCAGCGAAAGCUGUGCUAAUACCGCAUACGCCCUGAGGGGGAAAGCGGGGGAUCGCAAGACCUCGCGCGAUUAGAGCGGCCGAUGCCUGAUUAGCUUGUUGGUGGGGUAAAAGCCCACCAAGGCGACGAUCAGUAGCUGGUCUGAGAGGACGGUCAGCGACACUGGGACUGAGACACGGCCCAGACUCCCACGGGAGGCAGCAGUGGGGAAUUUUGGACAAUGGGGGCAACCCUGAUCCAGCAAGGCCGCGUGAGUGAAGAAGGCCUUCGGUUUGUAAAGCUCUUUUGUCAGGGAAGAAACACCGGCUCUAACACAGUCCGGGAAUGACGGUACCUGAAGAAUAAGCACCGGCUAACUACGUGCCAGCCGCCGCCGUAAAAC